rnacentral:lncRNA from 1 species
GAAGUUUGAAAAGUGUAAAACUUAUGUAAAGAUAAAACGCCCCUCACGUCAAUCAAAAAAAGAAAAGACCAGACAGCAGCGAUCCGAAAUGAUUCCAUGGAGGCUAACAACAAUUGGCAACACUUCGUUGACGGCACAUAUGUUAAUACUAAGCCUCAUUGUACUGCACAUAGACAAUGCAAUGAGUAAAUUUGAACAUAAAUCAAUCCAUGGAAUCUUUGAUAGAAUUUUUACUAUAAAUAAGCGACUAAUACGACGAGAAAAAAAUAUUUUUCAUUGGACUAAUAUUGCAAAAUCAUACACUCUACAGUAGAAAAUUCUAGUAGCAAAAAUUAACGCCCACUGCAAACAAUGAGAAAUUUAAGACUUCAAUGUUGAGUAUGUUAUCCGCAAAAGACUCUACUGGUUUUAAAUUCACACGAUAACGUUUAUAAUAACUUGAUUGGAAACACAUUUGUUACGUUUUCAACCAACAAUUGGCAUUCCAAUGGGAACCAACUGUGCCCAUCUUCUCGUUGACCGUUUCUUUAAUCAUAUAAGGGUGACUACAUACUGAAACUUCUUAUGAAGAUAGAAAAGUAGAAACAGUAUCUUUUUUGUCGUAACUACAAUUCAGUUCCCUUUCCCCCGAAUGUGACAUUUCCACAUGUGGCGCAAGAUCGGUCGAUCCUCCCGGAGCAUCACCCUAG